AGUGAACGCUGGCGGUAGGCCUAACACAUGCAAGUCGAACGGCAGCACAGUAAGAGCUUGCUCUUACGGGUGGCGAGUGGCGGACGGGUGAGGAAUACAUCGGAAUCUACUUUUUCGUGGGGGAUAACGUAGGGAAACUUACGCUAAUACCGCAUACGACCUACGGGUGAAAGCAGGGGAUCUUCGGACCUUGCGCGAUUGAAUGAGCCGAUGUCGGAUUAGCUAGUUGGCGGGGUAAAGGCCCACCAAGGCGACGAUCCGUAGCUGGUCUGAGAGGAUGAUCCGCCCACCGGGGACUGGGACCCCGUCCAGGCUCCUACGGGAGGCAGCAGUGGGGAAUAUUGGACAAUGGGCGCAAGCCUGAUCCAGCCAUACCGCGUGGGUGAAGAAGGCCUUCGGGUUGUAAAGCCCUUUUGUUGGGAAAGAAAAGCAGCAGGUUAAUACCCCGCUGUUCUGACGGUACCCAAAGAAUAAGCACCGGCUAACUUCGUG
rnacentral:rRNA from 1 species